rnacentral:tRNA from 1 species
GCCCGGAUAGCUCAGUCGGUAGAGCAGGGGAUUGAAAAUCCCCGUGUCCUUGGUUCGAUUUCGAGUCCGGGCACCA